rnacentral:lncRNA from 1 species
UACCUUUCCAGCUUCUCGAAGAACAGCCCCUUCGGCAGAGUGUUGACAUCUGGGAUGCAUAAUUCUAAGGUGGUCAAGUUAGGCAAACGCUUCAACUCUUCAAGGCUUGCAUUCUUGACCCCUGCAGCUUCCACCUCCACCUCCCACUUAUUAAAGCUACGAAUGUAUAAUUCCUCCAAAUGGGAUAAAUUUGAUAAAACAUUUGGGGGAAUAACCUGUAGUCUGUCACAG